GUGAGGAAUAUUCCACAAUGGACGAAAGUCUGAUGGAGCAACGCCGCGUGGAGGAUGAAGGUCUUUGGAUCGUAAACUCCUUUUCUCAGGGAAGAGAAUGGACGGUACCUGAGGAAUAAGUCACGGCUAACUACGUGCCAGCAGCCGCGGUAAUACGUAGGUGGCGAGCGUUAUCCGGAAUUACUGGGCGUAAAGCGCACGCAGGCGGUCUUUUAAGUUUGACGUGAAAGCUCCCGGCUUAACUGGGAGAGGUCGUUGAAUACUGGGAGACUUGAGGCAAUGAGAGGGGUGUAGAAUUCCCGGUGUAGUGGUGGAAUGCGUAGAUAUCGGGAGGAAUACCAGUGGCGAAGGCGACACCCUGGCGUUGGCCUGACGCUCAUGUGCGAAAGCGUGGGGAGCGAACGGGAUUAGAUACCCCUGUAGUCC
rnacentral:rRNA from 1 species